rnacentral:tRNA from 1 species
GCCUCGGUAGCGCAGUAGGCAGCGCGUCAGUCUCAUAAUCUGAAGGUCCUGAGUUCGAACCUCACCCGGGGCA